GCAUUGUGCUACUUUGGUAUUCUAUUACCUAUCCAUUUUUCAAAACUUUAUCCAUAAAAACCUAAUGCUCCAAAUUGCUAAUCAACUUAAACCAUUAGUUUUGAUAUCAUUAUUGCCAUAAUCUAGUUUUAAAGGCUAUGACCAACACUAAAAUUUGGCUUGGUAUAAGGUCCCAAAGCUUGUAAUAAGCCUAAUUCAUGUACAAGCCCAUAAUCAAGCACAAUAAUAUAUAAUUGAGGGAGCCAAGCUCAACCUCUCAAUCCACACAUAAUCACAACAAUAAAUCUGUAACAUUUGGGGAGUCUAGCUCGACCCUUAUACAGUCAUCCAUAAAAUAUUUUAUAGUUCUAAGAAAACAUAUGCACACAGUCAAUAUGGAGUUCUAAGCGAUGACAAUAUUAAUAAAUAAAAGAUAUAGAUUGAGACAAUAAAUCCUGCGGAAAAGAUAGAUAGAAAUAACUCACAAUAGAAUGAUUGUUCUUGUCACCUGAAAAAAAAUAUAUAUAUAUUACUUACUUUAUAAUGACAAAAUUCAUCUUUUAGGCCUUAAUUUUUUUUUUUUCAAAAUUAAGUACUUGCAUUUUUAUCGCCCUUUGAACUUUUAUUAUUUUUUUAUAUUAAGCUUCUGAAAUUUUAUUAUUUUUGACCAUAUAUACAUUUUCUAGCUAAUGUAAGAAAAAAAUAUCAAAUUGACUUACGGACAUUAAAACAUAUUUUUUUCUCUCUUCCUCCAUCUCUCCCAGUCCCAAAUAUUUUCUCUCUCUUAUCUUUAAGUCACAUUCUUUCUCUCUCUGUGUGCAAAUUUCACCUUCUCUCUCUCAACAAACCACAAUCUCUCCCUACAAUGCCACACUUUCCUACAGAACACAUUCUCUCCCUCUUUAAGCAACAAUCCAAGUCAACAAUCCAUAUCAAUAAACUCAAAAGGUAACAUUUCAAAAAAAUAGUAAUAAUUACAGUUAAAAUGUUACAUUUUUCGCAUCAAAGGCUUCAUCUUCUAGAAAUCAUAUUCAAAUAUAUCACCUGUGUAUUUAUUCCUUUCUUUCUAACCUAGUUAAGUAAAUCACGACGCCUAUUUAAAUGACACUAAUCGUGUGUGUGUGUGUGGGUGUCUGUAUGCACUUGGAUUUUUUAUCUUAUCUAAACUCAUUUUAUCGUAGACCCAAGAUACAAAAUAUAUGGUAAAACCCAUCUAUAAAUUAAAGGAGUCUCACAUAUUUAUAUUUUGAUCAAUAAUAAAUCAGGUUUAGAUAAGAAUUUUCUUAUAAAAUUAGUGGCUCAUCAAAAUAUUUGAGGGGAUUGUGAAUUUUGUCCCUUUAUGGCUAGUAAAGUUAAACACAUAGUACCAAUUGAUCAUAAAAUAUGUCAUAAUUCCUUACUAGAAAAAUCUUGGUUAAAGAAGAGUAAUAUUGGCAUUGAAUAAAAAAAAUAAAUAAAAGUUGCAAUAUAUUAAUUCAUAGAAGUCUAAAUAUUUAUGCUGAAUAACGUUAAAUAUUUUAGGAGAUAAUCUCACCAAUUGCUCUUCUGAUUUUCAAAUGUCCACAUGGAAACUCAAGUGCUCAACUCAUGGAUGUGCUUGGACCUGCCACGUCUGCCACUGCUUUUCGUAUGGGAUCGUUGUUUAGCUGAGGACAAUCUCUUAUUUGAAACUCUUGAAGUGAUGCCAUGUUCAAUAGGCAUUCUGGUAAUUUUCUGAGUUUUCUACAAUAUUCAACUUUCAUAACUUUUAAGCUGUUGGUAGAUCCUUGAAUAAGCCAUUGUGGAAACUCCA
rnacentral:misc_RNA from 1 species